AACGAACGCUGGCGGCAUGCCUAACACAUGCAAGUCGAACGAGACCUUCGGGUCUAGUGGCGCACGGGUGCGUACCGCGGGGGAACCUGCCCUUAGGUUCGGAAUACCUCCCCGAAGGGGGUGCUAAUACCGGUUAAUGUCUUCGGACCAAAGAUUUAUCGCCUUUGGAUGGGCCCGCGUUGGAUUGGCUAGUUGGUAGUGUAAAAGCCUACCAAGGCGACGCUCCAUAGCUGGUCUGAUAGGAUGAUCAGCCACACUUGGCCUGAGACACGGCCCAGACUCCUACGGGAGGCAGCAGUGGGUAACACUGGGCAAGGGGCGAAAGCCUGAUCCAGCAACGCCGCGUGAGUGAUGAAGGCCUUAGGGUUGUAAAGCUCUUUUAGCCGGGAUGAUAAUGACAGUACCGGGAGAAUAAGCACCGGCUAACUCCGUG
rnacentral:rRNA from 1 species